rnacentral:rRNA from 1 species
UGGGGAAUUUUGGACAAUGGGGGCAACCCUGAUCCAGCCAUGCCGCGUGAGUGAAGAAGGCCUUCGGGUUGUAAAGCUCUUUCGGCCGGGAAGAAAUCGCUCAAGCUAAUACCUUGGGUGGAUGACGGUACCGGAAGAAGAAGCACCGGCUAACUACGUGCCAGCAGCCGCGGUAAUACGUAGGGUGCGAGCGUUAAUCGGAAUUACUGGGCGUAAAGCGUGCGCAGGCGGUUUCGUAAGACAGAUGUGAAAUCCCCGGGCUUAACCUGGGAACUGCACUUGUGACUGUACGGCUGGAGUACGGCAGAGGGGGAUGGAAUUCCGCGUGUAGCAGUGAAAUGCGUAGAUAUGCGGAGGAACACCGAUGGCGAAGGCAGUCCCCUGGGCCUGUACUGACGCUCAUGCACGAAAGCGUGGGAGCAAACAGGAUUAGAGACCCGGGUAG